UCUUCCUGGGAGGGUUAGAGGUGAAGUUGAUGUCAGAGAUAUGAAGAUGCUGAUAGAAUCUCUGGGGUAUAGCGUGGAUGUGAAUGAAAAUGUCACUGCUUCAGAGAUGACUACAGAGCUGAAGGCAUUUGCUCAUUGCCCAGAGCACAGGACCUCUGACAGCACUUUCCUGGUGUUCACGUCUCAUGGUAUUUGGGAAGGCAUUUGUAGGAAAAAAUACUCUGAGUAACUCCCAAAUAUAUUAGAAGUCAAUGAAAUUUUCCAAAUGUUGAAUACCAGGAACUGUCCAAGUUUGAAGGACAAACCCAAGGUGAUCUUCAUCCAGGCCUGCUGCGGUG
rnacentral:lncRNA from 1 species